CGCGGCCCCAGAGAAGUUGUCAGCGGCGCGCCGCCUCUCCGGCUGCUCACACGCCCCCUGGCACGGUCGCUACUUUCUCCCCACCCCCUCCCCUCCACCCCGCCCCUCCCUGCUUCUCUUCCUCCUCCUCUGCUCGUUCCCAGCAGUCUCCUCCCAAUGUCACCGGCGGCCGAAUAGAGGCAGCGACGGCAGCGACAGUCGCGCAACUGGCGCAGCUAGCUUCCCGCGACUAAGGGAGUGGAGUUGGUGCCCCUGCCGCCCAACCUGAAGUGACCCCCAACACGCUUGCUCUGUGUGCGGCCGCCCCGUACCCCGACCCUCUAACGGGCCCCUCUGCCUGCGGAGACGGUCCCCAGGCUAGACUGCUGGGAGCGCCGCUGCGGAGCGCUGAUGAGAGGUGACCCGGGACCGCCACGCUGCGGCCGGGGCCCGGGAAACCACAGGGUUUGAACCCGCGGGAGAAGGCGCCCCAGGCCCGGGCCACUGGCAGCGCCGGCUCGGACCCGGGGGUCGGGGGCGGGUAAUGGGAGGCCAUGGCCCCGGGUUCCCCGGACUUCUGCCUGCGACCACCCUGGGACCCGUCUCUCUUGCCACUCCUCCGCCUCCCUCGGCUGGUGUUGAGGUCUGGCGAGAGAGACCCGGACCCUGGCGAGGCUUCCAGCUCAGCGCAGCCACGGCCACCUACCGCCAACCCCCACGUCGUGGCUCGGUGACUGAGGCCGAGCUGCUCCCAACAACCGUGUGACACGCCUGUGGCAGCCUGGGUGCGCGGGGACAAAUCUACACUAUGCGUGUUUGGGAUGUCAGGAAAACAGGGCACGUAAUCGCGCAGUCUGAACAGAGGCUAAAACUCCCCCACUUCCUCGCCAACAAGCCCACGGGCGAAGGCACGCAGCCUGACUAUUCCGGGCGGUGGGGUGUGGGGCGAAGGACUGCCCAUCUGCGCCUUACAGGUGCCACCUGGCGGUUCUCGUGGAGAGGUUUCGACUGAGCUGCUCACAGGUAAUGGUGCUGCUGGGAAUGCCGAGCUCCAGUCCAGACACGCAUCCUCCCUAAGGACACUUUAAAUUCACAUUUUAAAUAAAAUGAAGAUGACGGUACAUGCGGGUUCCCUUUGCCACGCAGAGAGACCGGAAUCCUAAAGUUAAGAUGGUGAAAUCGACUUGGGCUAAGUCAUUUCUUACAGUUACACAAAGUGGGAAGCUGGAGCUGCCCCUAGCUGUCACCCCUGCUGUCACUUCCUGCAUCUCGGCAUCCAUUCACUCCGCAAGCAUUCAGCUGCCACUGGGUUAUAAGCUUUAUCGAUGAGAGCAAAGACACUGGUGUUUGGUUUUGGGUUUGUUUUUUUUUCCCCCAUCACUCGUAGAGCUUGGAACAAUGCCUAACAUGCUGUCGCUUCAAUAAAUGUUUACAGAAUGAAUUAAUAAACACUCUGGGCCAGAAACUGUGCUUCGCCCACUGUCUCCCUGCAGCCCUCACUCACCUUUCCUUCUCUUCAAGCUCUUUCUGCUACACUCAGCCACAGUCUGCCGUGAGCUGGAUAGAGUGGAGGGGGAAGAGGGCCAAAAAGGACAAGCAGUCCAGGUGGUCCUGCGAGGAUGUGGAUCACACUUGGGGAGCCCAUUACACAAUUGAAUUUCUCCUCCAUGGCUAGUGCUGAACACACCCAUUUUGGAAAAAAGAAAAAGAAAAACAACCACCUGUGUUGUAGUUGGGGCUUAAAGCAAUGGGGCCAGAGGUCAAAGGUGACUCCAGUAGUUACCUUGCUGUCUAAAGCAAUAAAAUCAAGCCAGAAUCUGCAGGGCUGGCAUCACAUUCUCCUUUUUAGUGAAGUGGCUCAUACUUUUUCAUUGUUUGGAUUCAUUGUUCCUGGAGAUUUUUAUUUCAGAAACCCCUUGGAGAAUUUGAAGAGAACUGUGGACUUUCCCCAGAAAAGAUAUGAGCAGACACACACAUAUUGAUAGUGGGAUGAUAUAUGACAUAUUUAUUGGAGAUCUGGAACUUCUAACAUUGUGUGUCUUUUGAAUUCCUCCAAGCAACCCCAUUUGAACAAAUGAAACAAAGACUCCAGAUUCUUCAACAAAGGAUUCAAAAUGCCCAAUUCUAAAGGGCUGAGAAUUAACGCCUUGCCAGCCCCUGGGCUUGCUCACGGUGCCUUAGUGGUGACCAAGGGGCUCCUGUGAGCUGCAGGAGGCCUGGAAGUUCUUUGAGAAACACAGCCAGUGGGACAUGAAGGAG